CACGAUCAAACCUUCUUUGCCGAUCAAAGCCGACGUCUUUGGAUAAUCGCUUUCUCGAUGUUCUUCACAACGACUUUUCAUGUCUGGGCACCGUUACGGAAAAGGCAUGUAUUCAAUCAUCGUCAUUAUCGCUCUCCUUAAACGAUCUCUUUCAAUACAUCCCCUCAGUUGCUUCCAUCGUAUGAAUCUACUACUAUAAAUAUGUGUGUUUGUUUUCGUGAAAUUCAUCGGUUCCUUCCUCUCAAUCAUUAUAUUUCGUACAAGAUCAGAGAUUAUAAUGGCUUCCUCCUCUCUUCUGCUCGCUGACUUGAAGACUGGGUGUUGUAGCAACGCCGUCCGUCGAAGUACGACUGCUGUAGAAAUGCGGCGAGCUAAUUAGAUGUCCUGAACAUUCCUCGAUUGUUCAUGUGUUUUAUAGGCUGCGAGAAUGCGAUGGCCCAGUUUGUUUGAAGGAGUUGAUCCCGCUUUGGAGGAAUGGAUCAUUGAUCAGGUGCAUAUUCUAAAUCUAAUUAUAUAUUUAGUGAUUAAAGCUUGCUAUUGGUAUGUAAAGCUCUGAUUUUGAAUGAAUGUGAAGCUUCAAAUUCGUUUUUAAGACCUAUAAGCUGGUUUUUGUAAACACCGACACUGUUCAUAACUUAUAAGCUGUGGUGGAAACUCCGACACUGUUCCAUCUUCUUUCAUUCUACAUCUCUAUCGACGGUUCUGUUAUGUGCUUUCUCCUCUUAAGAUAGAUUCUCAUGUACAGAUGUGCCCUUCGUAGAUGCCAGGCUUGGUGGAAGAAAAUAGUUUGGAUACUCAGGUUGUACCGGUCCCUGGCUCUAAGUUAAUCAUGGCACCUUCUCAGUGGAGCAGUAAUAUCGUUAGUAACUUGGAGGACACUACCCUCCAAAACCUCACUUGGACAUUGACAGGCAGAGCAUAAUAAGCAGUUAAGCACUGAUCUGGAAAAUACAGGUUAUGCAUUGCAUAUUACAAGAGCUUAUGAUGAUUCCGAGGUGGAAUCAUUCUUGCACGAAGCCAUCAAUGUUACUGCAAAACAUUAUGUUCUCGAGUGCAUUUUUAUGAGAGAAGUGAGUCAAUUUCUGUUCCUCUUUGGUUGAAUUGUCAUGCCUCCUAAUGGAGUAAGAGUUGCUAUGGAAAUGCAAGCUGAAGCUAAAGUAAAAAUAGAGCCCAUAAAGGAACAGUUUGCUUGGUGCUCCUCAAGUAUAUAGAACAAAACAUGUUUUAUUCCGUGUAUCAAAAUCUGUUUUCUAACCCAUUCAACAUCGCUAUAUAAAGAAAACUUAUUAUUUUUUAUCUUUAUAUUUGAGAUUCAAAAUAAAUUUCACUACAAUGUAAUUUUCCUCUAUUUUUUUAAUUUCCUUUUUCUGUUCCUAGAUAAAUUGGGUAUGUUGAUGUUUAUAAUGUAUAAAACACCAUCUGCUUAUAGAAAAUUGUCCGUAAGAGAUUCGAAGUUUGAA